rnacentral:rRNA from 1 species
UUGUAAUUUGGAGAAGGUGUUUCGGAAAAGAUGAUGGUACAAGUCCCUUGGAACAGGGCGUCGCAGAGGGUGAGAAUCCCGUAUGUGACCAAUCAUCGAUUCCAUGUGAAACCCUUUCGACGAGUCGAGUUGUUUGGGAAUGCAGCUCUAAAUGGGUGGUAAAUUUCAUCUAAAGCUAAAUACCUGCCAGAGACCGAUAGCGCACAAGUAGAGUGAUCGAAAGAUGAAAAGCACUUUGAAAAGAGAGUCAAACAGUACGUGAAAUUGUUGAAAGGGAAGCGCUUGCAAUCAGACUCGUUUGCAGAAGUUCAGCCUUCCUUUGGGAUGGUGUAUUCUUCUGUCAACGGGCCAGCAUCAGUUUCGGCGGUUGGAUAAAGACUUUGAGAAUGUAUCUCUCCUCGGAGAGUGUUAUAGCUCGGAGUGUAAUGCAGCAGCUGAGACUGAGGUCCGCG